rnacentral:rRNA from 1 species
CAGUGGAGACAUUGUCCUUCANUUCGUCUGGACCCAAGACAGGUGNUGCAUGGCNGUCGUCAGCUCNUCUCGUGAGAUGUUGGGUUAAGUCCNNCAACGAGCGCAACCCUCGCCCUUAGUUGCCAGCAUUCAGUUGGGCACUCUAAGGGGACUNCCGGUGAUAAGCCGAGAGGAAGGUGGGGAUGACGUCAAGUCNUCAUGGCCCUUACGGGCUGGGCUACACACGUGCUACAAUGGUGGUGACAGUGGGCAGCGAGACCGCGAGGUCGAGCUAAUCUCCAAAAGCCAUCUCAGUUCGGAUUGCACUCUGCAACUCGAGUGCAUGAAGUUGGAAUCGCUAGUAAUCGCGGAUCAG